UAAAACAAAUUAAAACAAACAAAUAAAGAAACGAAACCUCUUUUGGAUUAUUGUCUCCUCUUUGCGACUCCCUUGCUUGAACUCAUUUUUGGUUUACUUUUUCCUCAU
rnacentral:ribozyme from 1 species